rnacentral:rRNA from 1 species
CGGGGGGCUGCAGUGAGGAAUAUUGCACAAUGGACGCAAGUCUGAUGCAGCAACGCCGCGUGGAGGAUGACGGCCCUUGGGUUGUAAACUCCUUUUUUCAGGGAAGAGAAUGGACGGUACCUGAAGAAUAAGUCACGGCUAACUACGUGCCAGCAGCCGCGGUAAUACGUAGGUGGCAAGCGUUAUCCGGAAUUACUGGGCGUAAAGCGCACGCAGGCGGUCUUUUAAGUUUGACGUGAAAGCUCUCGGCUUAACUGGGAGAGGUCGUUGAAUACUGGAAGACUUGAGGCAAUGAGAGGGGUGUAGAAUUCCCGGUGUAGUGGUGGAAUGCGUAGAUAUCGGGGGGAAUACCAGUGGCGAAAGCGGCACCCUAGCGUUGUUCUGACGCUCAUGUGCGAAAGCGUGGGGAGCGAACGGGAUUAGAUACCCCGGUAGUC